AUUUGAUGUUGCAGACAUCUAGUGUACAAUUUAUUGAACCUCUCCUAAUAUUCAUAUAGGGAUUCCCCAGAAUUUUGCUUGAUAUCGUAUAUUUCUUUUCUUAAACU